rnacentral:siRNA from 1 species
UCGCUUGGUGCAGGUCGGGAACCA